UACAGAGGUCUCAAGCGUUGUUCGGAUUCAUUGGGCGUAAAGGGCGCGUAGGCGGCGGGGUAAGUCGGGUGUGAAAUCUCAGAGCUCAACUCUGAAACUGCACUCGAUACUGCUCUGCUUGAGGACUGGAGAGGAGACUGGAAUUCACGGUGUAGCAGUGAAAUGCGUAGAUAUCGCGAGGAAGACCAGUGGCGAAGGCGGGUCUCUGGACAGUUCCUGACGCUGAGGCACGAAGGUCAGGGGAGCAAACGGG
rnacentral:rRNA from 1 species